rnacentral:rRNA from 1 species
GACGAACGCUGGCGGCGUGCUUAACACAUGCAAGUCGAACGGAAAGGCCCCUUUGGGGGUACUCGAGUGGCGAACGGGUGAGUAACACGUGAGUAACCUGCCCUUGACUUCGGGGUAACUUCAGGAAACUGGGGCUAAUACCGGAGAGGAAUCCUUGUUGCGUGGUGGGGGUUGGAGAGCUUCGGCGGUUUUGGAUGGACUCGCGGCUCAUCUGCUUGUUGGUGGGGUAGUGGCUUACCACGGCUUUGACGGGUAGCCGGCCUGAGAGGGCGACCGGCCACAUUGGGACUGGGAUACGGCCCGGACUCCUACGGGAGGCAGCAGUGGGGAAUAUUGCACAAUGGGCGGAAGCCUGAUGCAGCAACGCCGCGUGCGGGAUGACGGCCUUCGGGUUGUAACCCGCUUUCAGCAGGGCCGAAGCUUGUGUGACGGUACCUGCAGAAGAAGCACCGGCUAACUACGUG